ensembl:lncRNA
AUAGCUCUUAUGAAUCUUUCCUAUUGCUUCUUUGAGUCAUAAUAUAUGCUCAUCUUUUGGUAAAUGUUCUAUAGCUGUAUAUAUAUAUAUAUAUAUGUGUGUGUGUGUGUGUGUGUGUGUGUGUGUGUGUGUGUGUGUGUAUACACAAGUUUAUUUUUCAUCUCCUUCUUUCUCUUUCUUUCUCUGAGAAAUAUAUAUUAAAGUACCCCAUACUUAUUAUUGUCAAAUUAGUCUUAUAUUUCCGACAGAUUUUGCUUUAUAGUUUUCUGAUGCAACCUUGUUUUUGAAUAAAAGUGGGCUCAUUCAUGAACUCAUUCAGUCCAUUUUUGAAUUCAGCAAAUAACUAUUGAGAACCCACUGUCUUCCAGGUCCCGGGUUGAACUCUUAGAUUAUGACAAUGAGCAAGACAGACUCAAUCCCUAAUGUCCUGGAAUGUGCAGCUUCUAAAGAAGGUGACAUGAACACGACUCAGUGAUUGUCACUAGGCAUGGAGGAUGAGUGACAGGAGAAGUACAUAGUGCCAUAGGAGAUUUAGCAGGUAGUUAUACAUGAAUCAAAAGGGCUAGGAAAGGCCUCCCCGAAGAAGUAACAUUUAAGUUCAAAUAGGCACAUUUUAGGAUCUGAAAGCAGACCCUGUCAGCCAGGGUUCUAGCAGGAAACUUGUGCACACAAAAAUUGCAAAAUUUGAGGAGAGUUUAUGUGGCUCUAGUUAUAAAAGUGCAAGCAAGAUGUAGGAAACAUAUAAAGGAUAGUGCUAUGCUCUGGGACAAGGAUCCGUCCAGGCCUUGAGUGGAACAAACUGAUUACUGGAACCUGGAGCUAGAGAGGCUGUUUGGACAGACCAUCUUAAAGAGCUGACCUUGUGAUAGAGGGUCAAUGUCAGCCUAGGUGAAUCUCACAGGGAAGACAUGGAAGAUGCUGGGGGAAUAGAUACCCUGACCUUAUGCUCCUCUUCUUCCUCUUUAUCUCUGCAGGUGCUCCCCUUGGGCCAAAACCAACUAAUGCAGACAAGAGAGUCUGUUGAUGCAGUUCCUACAGUUCAGCCACCUGGGGCACAGAGCAGGGUGCAGAAGGAUGGAGAGAGGACCCGGAAAAGCAAACAGGAGAUACUAAACACACAGUCCAAGGUUAACCUCCAAUACACAGGAGUGUAAACCAUAUGAGCCUUUCUCAGUUAUGGAUUGCUAGGUAAAUAUGCUGUGACAGCCAAGUUACAUUCCCUGAAAGUGUCAGGUAAGUUCUUACUGGGAAAUGCUCUUGCAUGAUAGAGAGAAAAAAAAAAAAAAGAUCUGGCAAUCAUCAUUUUUUUCUCCCAAGGGACAACUUUCUCUUUCACAAUGUUAUUAAUGAAUGGCCAUGGCAUUUAAAACUGCCUUUCCCAAGAUAAAGACACAUGUGUGUUUUGUUUUGAGGAGGCAAAUUAUGCUCAGAGACUGACUUUGUCUUUGUCAGCAAUCUAUUUAAUAUGGAUUCACGGAGGGAAUUUCACAAGCCAAUAGCAUGCAGGAAAAUGUCUCUUAAUAAGCCAAUAAAGAAAUAAUACUCUGAACCA